CCUAAGGGUCCCCGCACAUGGGCCACCGGCCACAACCACAAAACGCCGCCACUGGCAUAUUUCCUGUAAUUUUCAUACAUUUUAUAUGGACUCGCCGCACACGGUGGCGCCGGUGGCGGCCACACGCUACAAAUCGUCGCAGCUUGCUUCUUGUGGCUCACACCGGCCACUAAACGCCGACACAAAAAGCCGCCACACGCCACUCGCGCGAUUCCGCGCCCCUCUCUCCCUUGCCUCAGUUAACCUGAAGUCGACGGCAAGGGUUAAAAAAAGUAGCAGCCACCGACCGCAAGUGUCGACCACCGGCCACAAGUGGCUGUCGCGCGCUUCAGCUACCUUUGUAGCCGCUUCUAGCUUCUCGUGGCGGCGUUUGUGGCUGUGGCGUGUGGCCCGUGUGCGGCGACAGU